ACGAAGUUUGUUUCCAGUCUUACUGAAGAAGAUCGACUAACUUCAAGUUACCGACGAAUGAAUAUCAGCUUUCUCGUUGUUUUUGACGACCGAUGCAUAUUUUUACCGACAAACAUCGUUACGAGACAGGGGUUUUGAUGAUUAAUUUAUCACAGAUUACACGGCCGAAGGAAACGCAGUACCGAUCCAUGUGUUACAAUCAGACUGAGUCUUCAUGCAGUACAUUCUGGAAUGAGGAACACCGCAUGCAUUAAUUGUGGUCCAAAUUGAUGGCAUUGACUUAACACAAAGCAGAAAGGAAUGAAGAGAAAUGAAGAAGUUUAUGUUUCACAUUAAUUAAGAUUAUUCGAGAUAUGUUAUCUGUCGAGUUUACGGACACACAUGAAAACAGUUUCCAGUACAUCUGGGCUACUUCGAGGAAACUACGUAUACUGUCUGAAAUCAGUCUUGUGCGUCGGUGACAAAACGUAUACAUAUCCUACUAUAACUCUGCUGGAAAAUAUUAUUUUGUACUAUUUUCCUACUAUUUUAGAAAAAAAACACAGAAUUAUAAAUACAUACUGUAGUAUGUACUGACAUUGAACUUGUAUAUCUUGUUGACUAUUUUUGUUGAAACAA